GUUAAUGACGUGUCUGUUGUGCGUCGUGCGGAGACUGAUUGCGUGGUGACGUCACGAUGCGUGAAACCCGGCCACUUUCAAACACAAUGUGGCCAAGGAGAGACAGCGAGAUCGUCCGAGUAAAACACCAGUCUCACGUCAUCUUAUGCACACAGGUGUGACGCCAAGAGACUCUGCCCACCAACGCUCUCCAUGGAGACUGCAAAUAGAUGGAGAGGGGGAAAAAAGUCUUAUAGCAGGCCAGCAACAAAAAUAGAAUUGUCACAUUUUGUUUUUUCUUUCUUUUUUUUUUAAACUCCAGAAUCAAACUGGCAUUUUCAGUACUUUGCUAAUGUGUUCUUUACCUCCUGAAUGUUUUAUAUAGUUCAGUUCAUCAUCAGAAAUAACCAUCAAACAUGGUCUGUCGGAACGGGUUACUUGGUCAAAAUAAAAACUUGAGAGUAAUGCACUUGAACAACAACAUCAAAAAUAUCAUAAAAGUAAAACCACACACGAGACAAACAUUGGCAUUGUAAAACAGCACCCUGUACUACCCCUCUGCUCUCCCCAAAAAACCUUCAAUAUUUUACUUGGUUUCACUCUGGCAUUCGAUUCCGGUAUGUGGCAUUUGUUUUUGUAGCUGACGCAAGAACGCAAGAGAACGUCCAAUUUAUUUGCCUCACAUUCUGUCGGCGCGACGACGAGCGCUGGAGUCUGUGAUCUAGCGUAUUAAUUUCCUUCCCUUGACUUUCUCAGUUGAAACAGUGGCACGUCUGUUUUCAGAAAUGUGAGCUUGUUAUGCUUUAUGAUCUGCAAUCUGCCUUCUUCGUGAUACGUUGCCUCGCUGACCACGAGAGAAUCCUUCGAUAACAUUCGAGUCCAGUGAGGCCUCCCAUUUCAAAGGCAAACAUUUAUAUCUUCUCGGUCCUUUUUCAAGAACUACAAAAAGACUUUUGUGCAUAUGGCUGGAAUCAUUUCCACAUCCAGUAAUGAGUGUGUUGAAGAGACAUAUUGUCUGGUUAUUUUAGAACAAAUGAUUACUUAUCUUUUUCCAAAAUAGGAAACUUGACUGUAAUGGAUGCCAACGUUAUGUUUGGCAUUAAAAAAAAAAAAGAUGUGCAGCAGUAAUCAAAUGCACUGGCCUACUAAUUUGUUACCAUCAAAGUAAAACGACAUUUUGAUAUUGUUAAUGUUGUCUUAUCCAAAAAUCCCUCCUUCCCGUUUGUCAGAACUGGAAUCUGCAGGCACGAUCCUUAGCGAUAUGUGUGUAGCGUGUGCUGACCGUGCAUUGAACGGCCAGUUGCUUUAAAUUUUGCGCCUUUGGUUGGGUUUCUUUUUCACUCAGUAAGCAUCUGUUCCCCAUCACCAGUUUCAUCGGCGACUAGCUGCAAUGAAAAAAGGCAAAACUGUCGAUACUGUAAACGGAAUG